UACGAAGGGGGCUAGCGUUGCUCGGAAUCACUGGGCGUAAAGCGCACGUAGGCGGGUUCUUAAGUCAGGGGUGAAAUCCUGGAGCUCAACUCCAGAACUGCCUUUGAUACUGGGAAUCUCGAGUCCGGGAGAGGUGAGUGGAACUGCGAGUGUAGAGGUGAAAUUCGUAGAUAUUCGCAAGAACAUCAGUGGCGAAGGCGGCUCACUGGCCCGAUACUGACGCUGAGGCACGAAAGCGUGGGGAGCAAACAGG
rnacentral:rRNA from 1 species